rnacentral:rRNA from 1 species
CCUACGGGGGGCUGCAGUGGGGAAUUUUGGACAAUGGGGGCAACCCUGAUCCAGCCAUGCCGCGUGAGUGAAGAAGGCCUUCGGGUUGUAAAGCUCUUUCAGACGGAAAGAAACGGUCACGGCGAAUACCCGUGACUAAUGACGGUACCGUAAGAAGAAGCACCGGCUAACUACGUGCCAGCAGCCGCGGUAAUACGUAGGGUGCGAGCGUUAAUCGGAAUUGCGCGGCGGAUAGCGUAAGCCAGAUGUGAAAUCCCCGGGCUUAACCUGGGAACUGCAUUUGUGACUGCGAGACUAGAGUGUAGCAGAGGGGGGUAGAAUUCCACGUGUAGCAGUGAAAUGCGUAGAGAUGUGGAGGAAUACCGAUGGCGAAGGCAGCCCCCUGGGCUAACACUGACGCUCAUGCACGAAAGCGUGGGGAGCAAACAGGAUUAGAUACCCCGGUAGUC